rnacentral:rRNA from 1 species
AACGUAGGUGGCGAGCGUUAUCCGGAUUUACUGGGCGUAAAGCGUGUGCAGGCGGUCGUGCAAGUCGCGUGUGAAAGCCCCCGGCUCAACUGGGGAGGGUCACGCGAUACUGCUCGACUCGAAGGCAGGAGAGGGAAGUGGAAUUCCCGGUGUAGUGGUGAAAUGCGUAGAUAUCGGGAGGAACACCAGUGGCGAAGGCGACUUCCUGGCCUGUUCUUGACGCUGAGGCGCGAAAGCUAGGGUAGCAAACGGG